UACAGGGGGGGCAAGCGUUGUUCGGAAUUACUGGGCGUAAAGCGUGCGCAGGCGGUUUUGUAAGUCUGAUGUGAAAUCCCCGGGCUCAACCUGGGAAUUGCAUUGGAGACUGCAAGGCUGGAAUCUGGCAGAGGGGGGUAGAAUUCCACGUGUAGCAGUGAAAUGCGUAGAGAUGUGGAGGAACACCGAUGGCGAAGGCAGCCCCCUGGGUCGAGAUUGACGCUCAUGCACGAAAGCGUGGGGAGCAAACAGG
rnacentral:rRNA from 1 species